rnacentral:rRNA from 1 species
GAUGAACGCUGGCGGCGUGCCUAAUACAUGCAAGUCGAGCGAACGGACGAGAAGCUUGCUUCUCUGAUGUUAGCGGCGGACGGGUGAGUAACACGUGGAUAACCUACCUAUAAGACUGGGGUAACUUCGGGAAACCGGAGCUAAUACCGGAUGAUAUUUUGAACCGCAUGGUUCAAAAGUGAAAGACGGUCUUGCUGUCACUUAUAGAUGGAUCCGCGCUGCAUUAGCUAGUUGGUAAGGUAACGGCUUACCAAGGCAACGAUGCAUAGCCGACCUGAGAGGGUGAUCGGCCACACUGGAACUGAGACACGGUCCAGACUCCUACGGGAGGCAGCAGUAGGGAAUCUUCCGCAAUGGGCGAAAGCCUGACGGAGCAACGCCGCGUGAGUGAUGAAGGUCUUCGGAUCGUAAAACUCUGUUAUUAGGGAAGAACAUAUGUGUAAGUAACUGUGCACAUCUUGACGGUACCUAAUCAGAAAGCCACGGCUAACUACGUG